rnacentral:misc_RNA from 1 species
GAUGAAGAACGCAGCGAAAUGCGAUAAGUAAUGCGAAUUGCAGAAUUCAGUGAGUCAUCGAAUCUUUGAACGCACAUUGCGCCCUGUGGUAUUCCGCAGGGCAUGCCUGUUCGAGCGUCAUUUCAACCCUCAAGCCCCGCUUGGUGUUGGGCCCCGCCCGCCGUUGCCGGCCCUAAAGACAGUGGCGGCGCCGCCUGGCCCUCAGCGUAGUACAGCUCUCGCUCCAGGGUCCGGCGGCCGCCUGCCAGAACCCCCCAACUCUGUGGUUGACCUCGGAUCAGGUAGGGAUACCCGCUGAACUUAAGCAUAUCAAUAAGCGGAGGA